UGUAUUGUGACACAACAGGACGCACUCCAACCUCUGAUUAAGAAUCGUGAACAAAUGGGUCAUUUUGUUACGAACAAGCCAGAAGCCAAACAAAUAACUGGCCAAGUGGAAGUGGCUCAAGUGUUGGCACCAACUACAGAUGAAAAUAUAGAUGAAGAAUCAGACGUCAACAUGGAAGAUGACCAGUCGGCGCUGUACCAACCACCAUUGAACCAGGUAUGGGACACCAAACUGAGAAAGGGGA